CCGACUUGCCACCAGCCCGGAGACAGUAGUUGUCCCAGAAAGUGCGGUUGAGACCCUUUUAUAGUCCUCUUCCACCAAUCCGUGCUCCGCUGCCCGCGUGCUGAGCACGCGGCUUUCUUCCAAUCAGAGGUUGGGUCAGCUCCUGCAGCUCGUUAGUCAAAUUGAUGAGCAGCCGAAGCCGCUGUGAACUUGUUUACUCCCUCUCAGCGUCAUGCUGUGGGAGCCGGGCCCUGCUUCCCACAAAUGCUAUGAAGAAAAACAAAGCAGAGAAGCACCAUGGACAGCGAUAGCAGGCGAGGGAGAACAUGGCUUUGAGUAAUCAGUUGUAAACCUGAACAUUUUGAAAUUUGAAUCUUCAAGGAGCUGGCCACAAAGUCCUGGAUCCACCCAUUGGAAAUAAAGAAGAGACCAUCUAGGAAAGUAUUUAAUCCUGUAAACUCUUAAACCAAGUGUAAAUUAGUUAUUUUUGUUAUUUUUAUGACUAAUGUGUAACAAAACUCUAGAGGAAAAACACUAAGUUCAAACUU